AGCAUAUCAAUAAGCGGAGGAAAAGAAACUAACAAGGAUUCCCCUAGUAACUGCGAGUGAAGCGGGAAAAGCUCAAAUUUAAAAUCUGGCAGUCUUUGGCUGUCCGAGUUGUAUUCUGGAGAAGCGUUUUCCGCGCUGGACCGUGUACAGGUCUCUUGGAAUAGAGCGUCAUAGAGGGUGAGAAUCCCGUCUUUGACAUGGACUACCAGUGCUUUGUGAUGCGCUCUCAAAGAGUCGAGUUGUUUGGGAAUGCAGCUCAAAAUGGGUGGUGAAUUCCAUCUAAAGCUAAAUAUUGGCGAGAGACCGAUAGCGAACAAGUACCGUGAGGGAAAGAUGAAAAGCACUUUGGAAAGAGAGUUAAACAGUACGUGAAAUUGCUGAAAGGGAAACGCUUGAAGUCAGUCGCGUCAUUCAGAACUCAGCCUGGCUUUCGCCUGGUGUAUUUUCUGGUUGACGGGCCAGCAUCAGUUUUGACCGCUGGAAAAAGGCCAUAGGAAUGUGGCACCUUCGGGUGUGUUAUAGCCUAUGGUCAUAUACAGCGGUUGGGACUGAGGACCGCAGCACGCCUUUAUGGUUGGGGUUCGCCCACAUUCGUGCUUAGGAUGCUGGCGUAAUGGCUUUAAACGACCCGUCUUGAAACACGGACCAAGGAGUCUAACAUGCCUGCG
rnacentral:rRNA from 1 species